AAUUACGGUAAUAGUAUUCUCGUAAUUUUUCUUCCGGUAUAUAUUGGAUAUUGAAGAUUACUACUUUACAAAGAUUUCAGAUUUGUGGACAAUUUCAAAACCACGUUUUGGCAACGCAUUUUCUAGAUUAUUCCUUUAGAUAUUGUGAGAUGACUCAUUUAUUUUAUUUGUUAUCAGAUUUCAGUACCAGAGAUAUGAACUCAAAGAAAUUUACUGAAACUAUGAACUCAAAGACUAUAUACUACAUGUACGACACACUUU
rnacentral:sRNA from 1 species